rnacentral:rRNA from 1 species
GGUGAACGCUGGCGGCGUGCUUAAGACAUGCAAGUCGAACGAUCGUCUUCGGACGGUAGUGGCGCACGGGUGAGUAACGCGUAACUGACCUGCCCCCAAGUUCCGAAUAACCCUCCGAAAGGAGUGCUAAUACGGGAUGUGCUGUCCCCUCCUGUGGGGCCAGUAAAGGCUUGACCGCUUGGGGAUGGGGUUGCGUUCCAUCAGCUACAUGGUGGGGUAACGGCCUACCAUGGCAACGACGGAUAACCGGACUGCGAGGGUGUCCGGUCACAGGAGCACCGAGACACGGGCUGCAACCCGACGGGGGGCCGCAGGUAGGAAUGCACCCGAAUGGAUGAAAGUCUGAGGGAGCGACGCAGCGUGCGGGAUGGAGGUAGUCGGAUAGGAAACCUCGGAAUCAGGGACGAAAGCCGCGGAAGCGGGAUGCCGGUACCUGAGUAAUAGCACCGGCUAACUCCGUG